UGAGAACAGGGUGGGAAUGGUGGCAUAUAAACUUGCACUACCGGAUAACUGUCCUAUUUAUCCGGUAUUUCACGUGUCCCAGCUGCGCAAGGUUGAAGAGAAUCUAUAGGUGGUGAUAGACAUUCCAAACCACUCAAAUGAGGAGCUAGAAAUGAUAGUCGGACCAGAGGAAAUUUUAGGGGUUAGACCAGGAAACAGAAGCAACAUCUGUGGUGUUAAAGCCUUGAUCCAAUGGAAGGGUUUACAAUCCUUAGAGGCAACCUGGGAACCGUAUAACUCAUUGAAACAAUAAUUUUCGGAUUUCCACCUUGAGUACAAGGUGAGUUUCGUGGGAGGGAGUAAUGAUUGGCCACCUAUCCAAGUUAAAUACCAAAGAUGCAAUGGGAGGGCAGGGGCAGAAAAGGAACGGCUGGAAAGAAUAAACAAAUAACAGAAUCAGUUAGUGGCUAGUAAUAGUAUAUAAGCAGAGAAAAAGGAGAUGAUGAGAGUCUGGAAAAAUAAGGAAAAGUGGGGAGACCCUGGACCUCUCGGAAGUCCAAUUAUCUAUUUCUUUAUUGUCAUUUACAUUUCACUAUAAUUCCAAAACUUUAGUGCGAAUAGAAGUCUGCACUUGAUGUCAUUACAGAAUUAUU
rnacentral:lncRNA from 1 species